UACGUAGGGUGCAAGCGUUGUCCGGAAUUAUUGGGCGUAAAGAGCUCGUAGGCGGUCUGUCACGUCGGCUGUGAAAACCCGAGGCUCAACCUCGGGCCUGCAGUCGAUACGGGCAAACUAGAGUGCGGUAGGGGAGACUGGAAUUCAUGGUGUAGCAGUGAAAUGCGUAGAGAUCAUGAGGAAGACCAGUGGCGAAGGCGGGUCUCUGGACAGUUCCUGACACUGAGACACGAAGGCCAGGGGAGCAAACGGG
rnacentral:rRNA from 1 species